GCUUGCCCGCAAAACUCCUCUUUGUCUCUCUUUUCGCCAAGUUCUACAGCUGUACUCUUUAUUACACCAUGUGGAAAAAAUGUACGAACAAUGAUAUUAGCUGAUACUAUUUUUUUGUGGUGCACAUUCAAUGCAUGGUUAGUGUGUAUGUGACUAGUGAUAUCUAUAUAUGUGAAAUUUUCUAUGUUGAUGAACGUACAGGAUGAUGUUGUAAAGUUGUUGCCAGCGAUGCAUAUAGCAUAAGUAAAUAUUAAUAGAAAUGAAAGACACUGGGAACACACCAGCUAGUUUGGAAGGAUUACCUUGCCCAAACAACCAGUGAUAUGAAGCAAUAGGUAUCACUGCUUGUUGGUGCCAUAUUAGAGUAGUGGAGAACGUGGAGAGAAGACAGUGUAGCUGCACCAGAACGAUCCUUGUUCUAGGCCGGUUGUGAGUUUCAAGCGGCUUUGUUUGAGGUCACCAUGGUAUGUAAACCUCUUUCAAUCAAAAUGAAUGACCGGGUGGCGAAUUUCUCAUCGGCUUAGAGAUGAAUGAAAGGCAUUGGUAGAACUAAUGCAUCAACU
rnacentral:lncRNA from 1 species